AUUUAAGUAGCUUAUAGUUAGAGUAUAGUAUUGAAGAUACUAGGGAGAUUGUUGAUGAUCUUUAAAUA
rnacentral:tRNA from 1 species